UACAGAGGUCUCGAGCGUUGUUCGGAUUCAUUGGGCGUAAAGGGUGCGUAGGUGGCGUGGUAAGUCUGGUGUGAAAUCCCGGGGCUCAACCCCGGAACUGCACUGGAUACUGCCAUGCUUGAGUACUGGAGAGGAGAUUGGAAUUUACGGUGUAGCAGUGAAAUGCGUAGAUAUCGUAAGGAAGACCAGUGGCGAAGGCGAAUCUCUGGACAGUUACUGACACUGAGGCACGAAGGCCAGGGGAGCAAAACAGG
rnacentral:rRNA from 1 species